rnacentral:lncRNA from 1 species
GUAUCCUCUGUUACAAAUUACAAUUCGUAUCCUGUGUUACGAAUUACAAUUCGUAUCCUGUGUUACGAAUUAUAGCUAGGUGGCUAAUGUUAGCUAGCUGGGUAACCUAUAAAGUAAAAUAUGUUACGAAUUUGCAAAACGCACAAUAUGUUACGAAUUUGCAGAACACAUGAUAUGUUACGAAUUCUAGCUAGAUAGCUAACGUUAGCUGGCUGGCUAAUGUUAGCUAGGUUAGGCAUUAGAGUUAAGGGAAGGUUAGGAAUUAGGUUAAAGAGUUAGGGGAAGGUUAGCUAAAAUGCUAAAGUUGUCCGUGAUGAGAUUCAAACACGCAACCUUUGAGUUGCUUGACAUUUGUGUUAUACAUUUUUGCAUUAAGUAACCAUCUGUCUUAUGUAACCAUACCAAACAAAACAUUAUAUAUUGAGUGUCCUGGAUUUAGCUUUACUAUGUUACGUCUAUGAGACCAGACUGGUGGUAAGGGUCAUGUGCAUGCUGAGGGGAUGUGCAGUGAGGGACUUUGUUCCCACAUGUCAAAGCAAAUGGAGAAAUUUGCAAGAUGACCACUGCCCCAGAGUCUUGUAUGCAAGAGGCAUUAUAGAAAAGGUGAAACCGAAAGAUCUUUGAGUUUAUCACUAGAAGCUAAUGUCGUAACCUUAGUAUAAUAACAUAGUUAGAUAUGUUUUUUUAUACUGAUGUUUAUUGUAGGCUGUCAUAAAACAUAUUAUAUUCUCAUAAAAUGUCAUAUAAAUUCCUCCUGUAUCUCGGGCGGCAGGUAGCCUGGGGGGUAGGAGCGUUGGGCCAGCAACCAAAAGGUUGUUGCUGAAUCCCAGAGGCGACAAGGAAAAAAUCUGUCAUUCUGCCACUGAGCAGAAUUGGGUUGGGUUCAAUGAGGAAGUCACAUUUCAGUUGAAUGCAUUCAGACUCGCUAUCCCCCUGUCCCUGUACAACUGACUAGGUAUCCCCCUGUCCCUGUACAACUGACUAGGUGUCCCCCUGUCCCUGUACAACUGACUAGGUAUCCCCCUGUCCCUGUACAACUGACUAGGUAUCCCCCUGUCCCUGUACAACUGACUAGGUGUCCCCCUGUCCCUGUACAACUGACUAGGUAUCCCUCGUUCCCUAUACAACUGACUAGGUAUCCCCCUGUCCUCUUGUCAUACCUGAUUAUGGACAGUCUUAGCUGGGAAUAGUAUUUGACCAAGUGGGAGGGCUGAGUCAAGGUUACUGUAGAAUAGAAUCAUAAAUGAAAGAGAAACUGUCUAGGCUGUAGGGUUAUUACAAUACUCUGACCACUCUCAGCCUCAAAUCAAAUGUAUUGGUCACAUGCACGUGUUUCCUGUGGCUCAGUUGGUAGAGCAUGGUGUUUGCAACGCCAGCAUCGUGUGUGCAAUGCC